GGGGCUGACUUGGAUUUCGACAGAUUUCUUGUCGCACAGAUAGCAUGCCAAGCGCUACUUGUAAAACAGCAACAAAAAUAACUGUAAACAACACAGAUUACGCUCCAGCUUACGCUAAAGCUGCGUGAGUUAAUCUCCUUUUGGAGCUGGACUGAUUAGAAUUUCUAGCGUUUUAAUCACUCCAUAACCUUAAGCUAGACGCUUUUAAAAGGUGGUUCGCCUUUUAAACUAAGAAACAAGAACUCUUGAAACUACCUCAAGGUUUUAGAAAGUUGGACCAGAGCUAGUUUUAAGGCUAAAAAACUAACCAAUUUUCUAAGCAUUGUAGAAGUUUGUGUUUAGGACAAGAUUUUUGGACUGGGGUUCGAUUCCCCACAGCUCCACCA
rnacentral:tmRNA from 1 species